GUUUUCCUAAUGAAAUAGUCAACAGUGCAUUUUAGAAGGACUGUCAUCACAUAUUUUUCCUAAAGAAAAAUAAUGGGGUUAUGAUUUCAUGGAUCUGGUAAGCGGAAUGAAAGCCUUCCUCAGCAUCUCAUGCAUAACAUAUUCAUAAGAGGGGCCUCAAAGAGUUUCAGUAGAUGUGAUCAAGAAAAGGGUGAUACUUUUUGUCCCCAAUAUGUGAUAAAAAAAUAAUAUCAAUCCUCAACACUAAUUCAAAUAUCCAGCAUAUGUAAGUCUUGAAAUCCAGAGCUAUAUGGCCAGCAGUAAAUUCAUACAGAUAUUUUAUAAAAGCGUAAGGAUAAAUAUUAACAAUCAUCAUGUUAAGAAUAAAAUUUUUCUUUUAUAUGUCACUUGGAUAAAUACAGUUGACAUAUAAUGUGAAGAGGAAAGAAAACUAUGAGCUGAAACUGAUUGGGAACAAUUUUCAUGUCAGAAAUUCCAGUUCAUCUAGGAACUCAUUUUAAAGAAGAAUUGGAAGCACUAAACUUAGGACUCCAAAGAAUCUUAUUUCAAGUACCAACAAGUCAUUUUGACUUGCAUUCUGAACUCCAUAUAAAUCAAAACAAGUCAUUUUGACAGUGUUCUGUCAAGACUAUUAGCAGUAAUUAAUCUAUUCCCAGGAAACAUUUCAAUUUCAGCAGGAAAUGAGACCUGUCAAGGUUGUUGAUGGCUCUAGCAGAAGCACUGCAAGGAAAAGCUCUCCUCCCUCAGAGGCCUCGUGUGACCAUUUCUGUAUGUUUAUUAAAAAAGUAUUUCAUCUGUCUGCACUGUAGCAUGCAAUUUACUGCUGUGGUUAGCAGUGGAUGGAUUUUGUAUUAUAUACACCAAUUUGUAAAAGUCAGCAUUGUAGAGAAGAAACGUAAAUUCAUCUUGGAGUUAUGUUAAUAUCUGCAGCACUCAUACGUUCAGAACCCAGACUUCCAAGGAAAGCUAGACAGAAGCAACAGUCUCAGCUCUACUGGAAAACAAACCCCAAAACCUUCUAAUUAUCUUAAAUUCCCAAAGACUGGCCAUUUCUAAAUUGUUAUGACUCUCUUUUCAGGCUUACACUAUACAGCAUCUGUCUGCCACCCAGAUUUUCAACACAAAUGUUGAGGACAGACAUAGAUGCAGACAGAUACUUUGUGCUUAUUGAGACAGAUCAUGGUGAAGGCUUAUGAUUUCCACUCAGUAGCCAGCUCAGCUUCUUAAAAAGUAACAGUUCCUUUCUUUGCAGCCCUGUGCAUCAAAUCGUUCUUUCCGACACACAAAACAUUUUCUGUUGAAUUCAUCACACAAUGUUUGCUUUGUGUAAUACCCCUCAUUACACAUCUAUUUUUUUGGCCCAGGAGAUCCCUCGCUGACAGAUAGGAAUUCCUUCUAAAAGUUAAGACUUGGAGUCCCUCCUGCUCUGGCUUCAACCAGCUUCUCUGCCCUAGCACCUCCAUUUUACACCAUUAUCCCUAGCUUCCCCAGUAGAGACUGCAGUAGUCCCCACUGCUACAUUACCAUAGCCAUAAGUUCAAGAGAUGCAUCUGGAACUCUUUCAUUUGGAGAGGAGAAGGCUCAGAGGGGAUCUCAUCACUGUUUAUAACUAAAGGGCAGAAGCCAAGCCAUUGGGAUGGACUCUUUUUGGAGAUGUACAGCACUAUAAAGGGCAACGGGCACAAACUGUAACACGGGAAGUUUCAUACUGAGAAACAUGGUGACAGACCAUUAGAGUAGCAGGCAGCCAUCAGUCAGGCCUGGCUGUUCCUCAGCAUUUCUCCUCUCCAUCAAGUAACCAAGUACUGCCUGAACUUAUAAUAGGUUGCUCUGUCCAGCACAGAAUUUUUCACUUUAGAGUUUGCCGUGCUGCAUCACCUGUUGUUUCCCAGCUACACUGCAUUUUCCCAUCCUGUCCCCAGCCUGCAUCUUUCCAGCACAUGCCUGUAAAGAUUAAGGCUUAGUAGAGCCUUCAGUGUGAUGAGAGCACCCUUGGAGGCCUUGGAGUUUUAAGACAUGGCCUUAACUCAUCAUUUUCCAGUUAGAGCUGAAGGCAGUUGCCUAGGCAACAACUCUGAUUCAUCAGCAGUGAAUUGUCAGGGCAACCGCCUCUGGCCAAGCCUGAACAGCAACGCUGUGGAGCAGAACAGCUGCCAGGCAUGGAGAGCUGCCCCCCAAAACUGCAAGUUAAAAGUUCCUGCACCAAAACCUUUUUAGACUGAAGGAUGAGAAUAUGAUUUUGGACAAAAAUAUUCAUCCAGUGGCCCUGAAAGCUUUCUAGGAUACCCAGAGGACAUCAGAAGAAUCUCAUCAGAGGUGUGUCCUUCACAGCUACAGGACAUGCAGGAUGGUGGAGAUAGCACAGAGAACGCUGACAGCUCACAGGGAGCGUCACAGAGGGAACUUCUUUGGAAACAUCCAAUUCUAGAGACUUCUUCUGAUGUCUGAUAAGAAAUAUUCUUUCCAUGCCUGGGCAAGUGAGAUGUCCACAUCUUCACUCAAGCCCCUGCUCUCAGAACCAGAAGAGAGAAUCCAAGCUCCCUCCUCUCAACAGCAUUUCAAGAAGUCAGUGAAGCAGCAAGGCUCCACUGCCUGCUUAGCCAUCACUGCCACUGUUUCUCCCCAGCCCUGCACAAGGCCAAUUACUUCUACACAGAGCUCUGCUGCUCUCCCUUUAGGCACCACAGCCUCCCCCAGUGCCUCUCUGCUGGCAGCACAUGAGGAUUUCCUGAACAGGCAUGCUCCCAAGUGCAAUUAGCAGCAAACACCAUUAAUGGUCUGUAGACUGGCUUGAUUUCAGCUUAUAGAGGCUCUCCUGUUUUUAUUUACUCUCGUACAUGCUGACAAAUCCUCUCCUGGGAUAAGCAUCUCCCAGGCUUUACUUAUUUGCUGUGUUCGCCAUAGCAUCCCUUCUGCCUUCUUUGUAGCAAAAAGCUACAGAGCUGUAAGUGGAUUUUUUUUGGCAGCUGACACCACUUCUGAUGCAAAACAUCGGUCAACUGGAAACCAAACUCUUACUGAAUCACCUUCAGGCAAUACAGCCAUCAUUUCCCUGCUGCUUCUUUGACACAUCCUUGUAUUUCUCCAAAGGAAGAGGUUGGGCAAAGAGGGCAAGAUGCAGGCUGCACACGCAUGACCACCAGCAGGCAUCUCCCUCACCUCAAAGGAGUUCAGCUUGCUCUCAGCUCCCAUCCAGCUGACUGGAGGAUGAGGAACUGCAUUGAGUGCUCAGGAGGGACAAGUUCCCCACACAGGUACCUGCACCCACAGUUUGAAUUGUGCUGAGAGCAUAGCUGCAGUGAAGAGAAAAUGCGUAAAACUUAAUCCCUACAGUCAACAGUGGUUAAAAUACCCCUCCAAAUAAACAUGCAAACAUAUAUAAACUUAGCAGAGGGUGUGACCAGAGCCCAAGGCCUCUCAGCAGCACAUCACAGGCUCUUCAGUCUGUACUGCUAGAUCAAGAUGGAGAGCAACAUCAGCAACAUAAGUCCCUAAAAUAGAGUAAUGCUUCUCGUCUCUUCA